rnacentral:rRNA from 1 species
GCAUAUCAAUAAGCGGAGGAAAAGAAACCAACAGGGAUUGCCCUAGUAACGGCGAGUGAAGCGGCAACAGCUCAAAUUUGAAAUCUGGCGUCUUUGGCGUCCGAGUUGUAAUUUGCAGAGGGCGCUUUGGCAUUGGCAGCGGUCCAAGUUCCUUGGAACAGGACGUCACAGAGGGUGAGAAUCCCGUACGUGGUCGCUAGCCUUUACCGUGUAAAGCCCCUUCGACGAGUCGAGUUGUUUGGGAAUGCAGCUCUAAAUGGGAGGUAAAUUUCUUCUAAAGCUAAAUACUGGCCAGAGACCGAUAGCGCACAAGUAGAGUGAUCGAAAGAUGAAAAGCACUUUGGAAAGAGAGUUAAAAAGCACGUGAAAUUGUUGAAAGGGAAGCGCUUGCAGCCAGACUUGCCUGUAGUUGCUCAUCCGGGUUUCUACCCGGUGCACUCUUCUAUAGGCAGGCCAGCAUCAGUUUGGGCGGUUAGAUAAAGGUCUCUGUCAUGUACCUCCUUUCGGGGAGAACUUAUAGGGGAGACGACAUGUAACCAGCCUGGACUGAGGUCCGCGCAUCUGCUAGGAUG